AACGAACGCUGGCGGCAGGCCUAACACAUGCAAGUCGAACGCUCGUAGCAAUACGGGAGUGGCAGACGGGUGAGUAACACGUGGGAACCUUCCCUAUGGUUCGGAAUAGCUCAGGGAAACUUGGGGUAAUACCGGAUAAGCCCUUCGGGGAAGAUUUAUCGCCAUUGGAUGGGCCCGCGUCGGAUUAGCUAGUUGGUGAGGUAACGGCUCACCAAGGCAACGAUCCGUAGCUGGUCUGAGAGGAUGAUCAGCCACACUGGGACUGAGACACGGCCCAGACUCCUACGGGAGGCAGCAGUGGGGAAUAUUGGACAAUGGGCGCAAGCCUGAUCCAGCCAUGCCGCGUGAGUGACGAAGGUCUUCGGAUUGUAAAACU
rnacentral:rRNA from 1 species